rnacentral:lncRNA from 1 species
GUCAAAGGCAGGCCUGGGGGGUCAGGUGAGGAGCUGCCCCGUGCUGCCUGCCCUCUGGGCCCUUGCCUCCUCAGCACCAAGGGUGCCCUUUCCCCGUGGGUCCUCGUGAAUUUUUCUCGAUUCCUCUGCCAGAUGAAGGAUUGUGGUCUGGGUCCUUCUCCCACUUUCUCUUAAGGCUGCCAGCUGUGAGCUGUGCCAUCGGGAGGAGCCUUCAGCUGUGCUCUCUGAAUGGCUGAGCAGCAGGAAGGUGUCCUGGUGUCUGGAGGCCUCGUUGGGCAGUGGCCAGUCUGCAUGCGGUGGCAUCACUAUCUGCCUCUGAUUUCAGAACUGAGCUAGCAUCUGUGACUCACACUUGUGACUCAUGGCCAUCAGGUGGUGACCCUGUGGGCCUCGGCCUGCACCUGUGUGCCUGUCACAAGCCGGGCCACGGGGAUGGGCGAGGUCAACCAUCUUGCUGGUGGAGGGUUGGACUGAAUUCAAGAAAUCUGAGUUUGCUGGGGUGGAACCGAAAGGUGGAAACUUACAUAAACUCAGUGCAGCUAGUUAAGACGCACACGGGACCACCUCAUUGUCCUGUGUGUCUAGCAGCUCAUGAGAAGAGGUGGAAGGAACGGCAACACCAGUCACAAAGGACACCUCCCUGCUGAGGUGCACGUCCUGCCUUCAAGAGCCUGGCGCUUGUAGUUGUCCUCCGAGGCCCUGCUGGGGUGGAGAGGUCACGUUCUCUGUACAGCCAAGAGACAGCUUGGGAGCUGGAAGCCUGGGGAGACUGGACCCCAAGUCCUGGACGAGGAGAAAGAAGCCAGCACACUGAUGCCAUCUUCUGCUCCUUCAGAGACCAGCCUUGCACGUGCACCUGAGCCCCAUGGCCACUGGCUCUGGGCUCCUGAGGCCCUGCGUACGUGGGGCCAAGUGCCACGUCUCUGACCUGGGCAGGGUCGGGUGUUGCUGGAAGCUCCCUGAGGUGUCAAGGAGGAACACACCUUAGCAACUCUGUGUCUCAUGGGUCUUGCUUUCUUUACAUCAAAUGCUGUUUGCAUUUUCUGGGUGAUGAACUGUUCUCUUCAAGCAUUGGCUAAGGAGAGGGAAGCUUCACUGGGGCCUGGAGGUAACUGGUGGUUCCAUUUCAGGUUUAAUGAACUUGACCAGGCACUUUGUUUCCCCCCAAUAUUUUUGUCUGCUGAUUAUAAACUCCAGACAAAAGAGAAACAGUUAUUUAAAGGCACUGAUUGAAAAGUGACAUAAAACAUGAAACUCCCCCACCACCACCAAAAAGAAAACAAAAACGAAACGAAACUUUGGGUCAUGAGCCAUGAGAUAAGGGAGCCACCCACCUGACUUUCUUCCCAGGGCCCUCCUGAGACAGCCCAAGGGGGCUGCAGCCAAGCAACACAACAGUCUUGUGUGCAGAGGUCAGAGGUCAGGGCUACCAGAAUAUCUGGAAAUUUAGGGAGAAAGUCUGGAAAAGAGGGAGACAUAGCUAGGGGGAACCCUGGAUCUAGCAAAACUCCCCGGAAUUCUUGGCUUGUCCCUAAAAUAUGCAUGUGCCGGACAAGACUCCAGAAACUCUGGGGAGAGCCACUGCUGGAGGCUGCAGAGCUGAGCAGACAUUCUGGCAUUGGCCAGUGCCAAGGAGAGUAAGUUCACAGCUCAGUCCUAGGAGUUAGGGGAACCCGGGUGGGGUGCUGGGGCUUUUUAUUAAAAAGGAAACCUAUGUCCUGAAAUAGUCGUCGUUAGUUAUACAGGCAGAAGACAGAAACAUACUAUGUUCAACUGUGGAGAGAAAAAGCCUUGAACCUAAAUACCCAGCUAAAC